CUGAAAGAAGUAAUGCUGGCGUUUUAUAUACAAGUUUACUAUACAAAAAGGGUAAGCACAUAAGAGCGGAUUGAACUGUAGAUAUUGACUCAAUAUUAAACCUGAAAACGAAACCUAAAACCUUUCCCCCGUAUAGCAAGACAUAUUUAUUGAUACCAUCAGGAGAAAAUAAACCACAGGAAGAUGUUGAAGACAAUUUAAAAGUCAUUUGUUCAAGGAAGGUUGCAGCCAAGAUUUAGUUUAUUUCUUUGUUUCCAG